rnacentral:rRNA from 1 species
AUGACGGCCACCAGAGAAACAAACGCUUGCUGGCGACUAACAUCCUGUAGGGUUGUCCCCCAAGGGGGCACUGAUCCGCUGGUUGACCUUCUUGAUCUCCUUCGCAUUGACCAGGUGACACAAACCUUGGAUGAUUGGAGUCAGACCUGUGAGCAGCUCGGCGAAGUCAUGCAAAGUGCCCUCGCUCUCAGUCGCCAAGGUGCAUCCUUCAGCAACAUCCCUCACUUCACCCGCGGUAGAAAUGGCUACGCUACACUCAGUGGCCAUGCUGCCCUCGACACCUUGGUCCCCAUCUUUUGCCACCAACGGCGCCAAUGCAGUCAACAUCGAGCCAUGAGCGUCAAAGCAGGGAAGCAGGGUCCCUACAAAGAGGCUGGGAAUGACCCCUUGUCACCACUGGAGACCUCCGCCUGCUCCAAUAAGCUGGUUGCACGGGCCACCAACAAGCUCAAAGGGUGA